UACCCGCGGCCCGAGUGGUGUUCAUUAUUAUUGAGCUUAAAGCGUUCGUAGCCGGCCCUGUAAAUCCUUGGGUAAAUCGGGCAGCUCAACUGUUCGAAUUCCGAGGAGACUGCAGGGCUCGGGACCGGGAGAGGUUCGAGGUACUCUUGGGGUAGGGGUAAAAUCCUGUAAUCCUGAGAGGACCACCAGUGGCGAAGGCGUCGAACUAGAACGGAUCCGACGGUGAGGGACGAAGCCCUGGGGCGCAAACGGGAUUAGAUACCCCGGUAGUCCAGGGUGUAAACGCUGCGGGCUUGGUGUCGGAGGUCCUAAGAGGACGUCCGGUGCCGGAGAGAAAUUGUUAAGCCUGCCGCUUGGGGAGUACGGUCGCAAGACUGAAACUUAAAGGAAUUGGCGGGAGAGCACCGCAACGGGAGGAGCGUGCGGUUCAAUUGGAUUCAACGCCGGACAACUCACCAGGGGCGACGGUUACAUGAAGGCCAGGUUGACGACUUUGCCUGAUUUUCCGAGAGGUGGUGCAUGGCCGUCGUCAGUUCGUACCGUAGGGCGUUCUCUUAAGUGAGAUAACGAACGAGACCCUCGCUGCUAAUUGCUAGCCGUUCCGCGAGGAGCGGUGCACAUUAUCGGGACCGCCAGCGCUAAGCUGGAGGAAGGAGAGGUCAACGGUAGGUCAGUAUGCCCCGAAUCCCCUGGGCUACACGCGCGCUACAAAGGCCAGGACAAUGGGCUCCUAUGCCGAGAGGCGACGGUAAUCCCGAAACCUGUCCGUAGUUCGGAUUGAGGGCUGUAACUCGCCCUCAUGAAGCUGGAUUCCGUAGUAAUCGCGUGUCAACAUCACGCGGUGAAUAUGCCCCUGCUCUU
rnacentral:rRNA from 1 species